UCAAUCGCCUGCUGGAACUUCCCCAUCUGGAAAACCACCACACCUACUGUUGGACCCCCAUGUACUCUCCUCUGCUUACCUACCCACAGACCUUCCUCCGCUGGCCCGGUUCCUCCCUGCUGUCGCAGAUCGACGCCCCUCCACACACUCUCCAGCACAUUCAGUUACUAAAUAAAUCUGUUAAAACUG